rnacentral:rRNA from 1 species
UGGUACGCGAGCUGGGUUUAGAACGUCGUGAGACAGUUCGGUCCCUAUCUGCCGUGGACGUUUGAGAUUUGAGAGGGGCUGCUCCUAGUACGAGAGGACCGGAGUGGACGAACCUCUGGUGUUCCGGUUGUCACGCCAGUGGCAUUGCCGGGUAGCUAUGUUCGGAAGAGAUAACCGCUGAAAGCAUCUAAGCGGGAAACUUGCCUCAAGAUGAGAUCUCACUGGGAUCUUGAAUCCCCUAAAGGGCCGUCGAAGACUACGACGUUGAUAGGUUGGGUGUGUAAGCGCUGUGAGGCGUUGAGCUAACCAAUACUAAUUGCCCGUGAGGCUUGACCAUAUAACACCCA